UACGAAGGGGGCUAGCGUUGCUCGGAAUCACUGGGCGUAAAGGGUGCGUAGGCGGGUCUUUUAGUCAGGGGUGAAAUCCCCCGGCUUAACCUGGGAACUGCGUCUGAUACUGGGAGGCUUGAGUAUGGGAGAGGGAUGUAGAAUUCCAGGUGUAGCGGUGAAAUGCGUAGAUAUCUGGAGGAAUACCGGUGGCGAAGGCGGCAUCCUGGACCAUAACUGACGCUGAGACGCGAAAGCGUGGGGAGCAAACAGG
rnacentral:rRNA from 1 species